UAGGGAAUCUUCCACAAUGGACGCAAGUCUGAUGGAGCAACGCCGCGUGAGUGAAGAAGGUUUUCGGAUCGUAAAGCUCUGUUGUUGGUGAAGAAGGAUAGAGGCAGUAACUGGUCUUUAUUUGACGGUAAUCAACCAGAAAGUCACGGCUAACUACGUGCCAGCAGCCGCGGUAAUACGUAGGUGGCAAGCGUUGUCCGGAUUUAUUGGGCGUAAAGCGAGCGCAGGCGGAAUGAUAAGUCUGAUGUGAAAGCCCACGGCUCAACCGUGGAACUGCAUCGGAAACUGUCAUUCUUGAGUGCAGAAGAGAAGAGUGGAAUUCCAUGUUUAGCGGUGGAAUGCGUAGAUAUAUGGAAGAACGCCAGUGGCGAAGGCGGCUCUCUGGUCUGCAACUGACGCUGAGGCUCGAAAGCAUGGGUAGCGAACAGG
rnacentral:rRNA from 1 species